UCCCUGGUGGUCUAAUGGUUAGGAAUCAGGGCUUCUACCCCUGUGGCCCAGGUUCAAUCUCUGGGUUUGGGAA
rnacentral:tRNA from 1 species